GACCCUGCAGCAGGGAUACCGGCUGAUCGGCUUCCUGGAGGACUUCAUAGCCCAUCCCCAAGUUCAGACGAAACCACGUCUUCCAGGAGUCGUGGCUGAACGACGACAUCCUCAACAUGCCGCUGGGUGGUUAUACGCUGUAUCGGCAGGAUAGGACAGCGGCGUCUGGGUGUUUCUCCAUCUCUACGGGGAUGAUCACAGCUCACCAGCUGUAUAACAACAUUACUGACCAUGCUGUCACCUACGGCAUGAAGCCCCUUCGCAUGUCCAAAGCCGCAAUGACCAUCGAUGGCAAGAAGGGUGCACCACCCAGCAGUGACCUGCAUGAGUACGGUCUGGUUGCACUGUGGAACAGUUUGGGCUCUUACAAGGACCUUGAAGGCCUGCGUCACCAUGACGAUUUUGACAUGUCCCUGCUGGGGUGUCACAAUGCCGAUCCGUUUGAGGAGCAGUCGAAGGGAGAGAGACAUCUGCUGAACUACAGAAAGAUGAAAGGAGGGAUUAUAUAUCGUACAAUGGAUGGUGGAAAUCAUUUUGGAAAAGGUCACAAUUUCAUACCGCUGCAUUACUACGUGAUAAUGACCAGCCAGAGAGAGCUGUUCCCCCGGCUGACGGCUGACCUGCGUCGCUUCAAAAAGCUUUCCCAGAUACACCGUGAGGUCAGCGACCUGGCAGGAAGGGUUCCCCCUGAGAGAGGUACAGAACCAGGCGGGGUAUUGGACCUUGAACUGGACCUCUGGGAGGAGACCCCCCCCUGCAGCCUCAGCCCCAGACACCUUCAUCUCUACCCCCAGUGUUGGGAACGAGUUCUAUCCCCUGACUGGCCCCUAAGGGUCUGUGGCCCAGGGUCUCCUCUACCCCUCUCAUCUGUUCCCCCUGCUCAACCAGGAGGUGGGCUGUGCGCAGAGUCAGAUCCAGGCGAGCAUGGAACAGGCCAUGGGCCACUGUCGCAGGGACAACCUGUGGAGGAGGCUGUUCCAUGGAGAACACCAGCACCUGGCCAUGGACAAGCUCAAGCUGAGCAAACUGUACUUCAGCGAACUGGAGGAGCGCCUCAAUGCAGUGCAGAGUCAAUCUGUAGGGGAGAUUGACCCCCAGCUGGAUUGUUUCUUGACCAUGAGUCCCAGCUGGUACCAAAGUCUGAUCAAAGUGCCGCUGACUCGCUUCCCUCAGAGCUGCCGACACUUUGACCAGAGUGGCAUUCAGUAUCUGGCUGUCCUGAACCAGAAAUUCACUGACUGCUUUGUUCUGGUCUUCCUUGAAAAUCAGGCAGGAAAAACGAGCCUCAAGGUUGUAUUUAGGGAGCCAUUGCCAUCCCAACCGCAGCCUAGGAACAGCCCCUCGCCCCAGCUGGUGUCCAUGCACCAUCACCUGGAGUCUGAUCAACACAGCCUGCUACAACUUGUGGACAGGGCUGCUUUAGGCCUGGAGGGCCAAUCAGGGCCAGGUGGGCCACAGAGAAACAGGCUGCUGGGAGGUAUAGUUCCAGACAGACGGCUUAAUUUAUAAGCCGUCUUGGCAUGUGGGACACAAAAAAGGAUGUUAUUGUUGAAAAGUGCUAAAUCAGCAAAUCAAAGAGUUCACAUGUCAAAGCUUCCUGUGCAAUUUACCACUGGGAGAAAAGAUACACACUAUUGUUAAAUGGAUAGUGCAAGAUUUUGGCAAUGAAGCUGUACCUGUAGACUUCCAGUUGCGCUAACGCUCGUUAGGCUCGCAAAAACUACCUUCAACUUCCUUCAAACUGCACGCAGAGACAUAGAAAUGGCAUCUGACAUUGCAAAAAUCUUGCACCAUCCCUUUAAAGGUACGACCUUACCUGCCUGUGUCACCCGGCCUGUGUUUUGGUAAAAAGCUGAGGGAUGUGCCUGGAAAAAUUGGUAUCAAAAUUAUAGUUUAACUUGUUUUGAGGGUGUACAGUGUUUGUUUACAUUGUUUACAAGCAUUGGAGUAAAAUAAGAUUAUAUUUGUUCUGAUAAGGUACCGCAGUUGAACUAAGUUAUAUUCUUUAAGAAUCAAUGGGAAUACAUCAUUAAUUUAGAUGUCCAAAAAUUGAUGUAGCAACGAACUAGCUUUGAAGUACAUGAAGGGCUCUAUAUUAAAUCAGAUCCCCUUUAGCUGACAUCCACAUAGCUGUUGUUUUGGUGGUGUCGGAGGUGAAACGGCGUUAGAGCUGUCAAAUCCACAAGUGGCUCCUGGCAUUAUACAGUGCCUUCGGAAAGUAUUCAGACCCCUUGACUUUUUCCCCAUUUUCAUAU